rnacentral:lncRNA from 1 species
UCAGUGCUAACUGCAGCAACGAGUUGAGUAACCAAACAAGUUGUUGCCGCGCAAUGGAGAGUUAUGUGUCUCAUCUGCAAAAGCAAUCACUUAUAACUAAUUUGCAAGCUUUGGACUGCGCAACCUCUCUUGGGACAAAGCUGCAGAAGCUAAACAUCACUAAGAAUGUCUUCACUGCUUGUCAUAUAAGUCUCAAAGACUUCUCUCUUCAAGGUUCUCUACUUUGCACUUUCAACAUCUAUUUUCCUUUUCAAUAUAAAUCCUUAACCUGUUUUCUUCAUCUUUCUGGUUCUUGAUGAUGCAUUGUGGUGUUGGAUUCAAACAGUUGGAAACCAAGGUGUGAAUUAAACUUUUUUUUAUAUUCAUCGUGUUAGAAACCUUAAAACCAUUUUUAUUAACUCUUAAGACUUUGUUCUUUGUAUUUUUGGUUUAAAGAAUCUGGUUGUCUGUUACCAAGCUUACCAUCCGAUGCAAUAUUCGAUCAAGACACGGGAAUAAGCUUCACUUGUGAUCUGAAUGACAACAUUCCUGCCCCAUGGCCUUCUUCAUCUCAGUCCUCAGCCUCUACCUGUAAAAAGAGUGCGUUGUUAUUAUCGUAUCUAGCUUCUUGAUUUUAGACGUAUACAUCUCUUUUGUGCUUUAACUUAUAUCCACUUUUGUCUUUUCUUUUGCAGCUGUUAGAAUCCCUGCUCUUCCUGCUGCAGCCUCCUCGCAACCCAGUAAGUUUUUCCUGUCUAACGUUACACUAGUAAUAGGCCUAGCUCUCACCAAAAGAUAGCUCAAGAGUUAAGAUUGGUAUAUUUUCUUUUUGAUCUCUCAGGUCUCUACAAUGAGGGAGUGAAACGUUUGGUGAUCUUUGUAUUGUCUAUGGUUCUUGUGAUGCUUCUGUCAUGAUACCAGAACUAAACUGGGUUCACUCUUAUCUCUUACCGGUUUACUAGUAAUAGCUGUGGUUUUUGUGAUCAAACCGGUACAGUCAGCUGUCGGAAGUAGUAUGUUGACAUAACCGGUUCAAGUGCUUGAGUUGUUUGAGGUAUAAGUUUCGGAAAGUCUUUUAUCUUUAUUGAUUCAUGAUUCUUGGAAACCUUUUUAAUGUAAAGAAAAAGGUCUUGUAGGAUUUAUUUUCUGUAAGCUUAUAUAUAUAUAUAAUAUGUUUACUUUGCAAUUUUUAUAUAUUUAUAGACAUUUGAUUUCGGAAAUUAAAAAUGCUACUUGGUUAAUUUGUAUGCAAAAUUUAAAAUUUCUUCUUUUUAUUUCAUAUGGACCCGAUUCUAGUUGGUAAAUUUGUCAAAAUCAGGCAUGCAUAUAAGCUUUGGGAUGGUGGAAAGAAGUGAUGGCUCUAUGAAUUUUGAUCAGGUUUUGCUUAUUUGACCUCCCAUGUGAUGUUUAAACAGCCAUUUUUGCAUGCCACAGAUUGUGUGACCAAAUGUUAUUCGUUUCAUAUCAUAGGUUUUUAGUUGCUAAUCUUUUUAAGGAUUUAAAAUCAUGACUUGUGACAAGUCGCGUAAAUCAAAACAAACAAUAACAUGCGACUUAUGAUCUAAUCGUGCAAUCAAUCCUGUGAUAGCAAAACACAUAGCAACUUGUGAUUUGUGAUAUAUGACGUUCGACUGUAUCGCAAGUCGCAGUUGCAGAUUGUUGCGACAUGAAAACAAAUAGGACCAACAUAUUCAUGCUAUUUUCGCAUGUGAUGAUAGUUUUUUUUUUUUGCUAAAUUGUAAAUAUCAUAUAAAUGAAAGAAAUAUUUUACACAAACAAAAUCUUAAGUUUAACACAUCUUGGUAAAAAGAAAGAAAAAAACAAGAUGGGUCAUUGACAUCCAAAGUUCAGGAUAACUUAGACAUUUAUCGCAACCACAUAACCAUAAGUGAACUGAAGAGCUUGUUUGACCUCUUAGAGGAGAUAAUGUUCUCCAUCUCCCUGUCAAUGGCUCUGAAUACAUUAGUAGGUGGCAUGGAAGUGUUGUUAUGGAUCAGGUUGUUUCUCUGUUCCCAAAUGUGAAAGACGACCACUUGGGAGGCGAGUUUCCUGAGCAGAAAAAGCCUCCUUGAUUGUGGCGCUCUGAUCCAGGAUAGUAGCUCCGCCCAGUUAGCAAACAUCUGCAAAGGAGGGUUGCAUCUGGUGAAGACAUGAGCCCAGACGUUAUUGGUGUACUGACAGGAGAGGAACAGGUGAUCCCUUGUUUCCGGAAAGUUUGCGCAAAAGGGACAAGACACUGGUAUCGAUAGACCCCAAGAUACCAGUCGAGCUCUUGUCGCUAGUCUAUCAUAGUUCGCUAUCCACAUCGAGAUAGCGUGCUUCGGAACAGCCCCUUUGAACCAAACAAUAUCAUGCCAAGGUUGAGCUGCUUGUCUUGGCCGCAAGACCUCCCAAGUAGCCUGAGAAUUAAAAACUUUCAAAGGGUAAUUAGCAGCUUUCCAUUCAAAAACAUCAUCAACAUCAGGUAAUGGAAGAGUAAUAGUAGUGAGGUAAGAGUGAAGAUCCACUUCCUGAUGAGAUCUAGGGUGUGGUAAAGACCAAGCUGAACCAGAUAUCGCAUCCGCCACCAUUGCCUCUUUCCUUACACGAAGCGCUCGCGGUCCACCAAUGCUUAUGUGGUUGAUCAGUUGGCCAAAAGGAGAGGUUUAUAGAUGCUGUAAUGCUUCAACUUGUUGUGUGAUGGUUUGGUUUGGGUAUAGGUUCAUCUGAGGAGUUCUUGCCUCAGAUAUCACCAGACACGUCUCCUCAACCAUUCCUUCCCUUCAUUGCUCCUUCUCCUAUGGCUCCUUACAUCAACACCACCAUCCCCAAGCUCUCUGGUCUCUUCUUGUCUUAACGUUUCUCCAUUGUGAUUGCCUUUGGAUGCUAACUCUUUUUUGGUGUCUUUCAGGGCUAUGCUCGCUUAAUUUCACUGCUUCCGAGAGUUUGAUUCAGACAACAUCACACAACUGCUGGACUGUCUUUGCUCCAUUAUUAGCCAAUGUCAUGUGUUGUCCUCAGCUAGACGCUGCUCUCACCAUCAUCCUCGGCAAAGCGAGCAAAGAAACUGGUCAGCUUGCCUUAAACAGAACUCAGUCUAAGCACUGUCUCUCGGAUUUAGAGCAGAUCUUGGUAGGCAAAGGCGCUUCUAGCAAGCUUGGGAGUAUAUGUUCCCUUCACUCGUCGAAUCUCACAGCUUCUUCCUGCCCUGUGACCGACGUGGAUCAGUUCGAAAGCGCGGUGGAUACGUCUAAGCUUCUUUUGGCUUGUGAGAAAGUUGAUCCUGUCAAGGAGUGUUGCGAACAGGCUUGCCAAAACGCCAUACUCGACGCAGCUACUAAUAUAACUCUCAAUGCCUCUGAGCCUUUGAUGGAUAACUCGGUUCGGAUCAGUGAUUGUAAGAACAUAGUGCACCGUUGGCUCGCUACUAAACUUGACCCUUCUCAGGCUAAGGAAACUCUCAGAGGUUUAGCAAACUGCAAACUCAAUAGAGGUAAAAGUAUAACCAAAUCAGGGUUCAACAUUUUAAAUUAUGAUUUGUUAACAUGUUUUUUGUGUGUGUGUGUUGGUUUCAGUUUGUCCUCUUGUGUUUCCACACAUGAGACACAUCAGUGCUAACUGCAGCAACGAGUUGAGUAACCAAACAAGUUGUUGCCGCGCAAUGGAGAGUUAUGUGUCUCAUCUGCAAAAGCAAUCACUUAUAACUAAUUUGCAAGCUUUGGACUGCGCAACCUCUCUUGGGACAAAGCUGCAGAAGCUAAACAUCACUAAGAAUGUCUUCACUGCUUGUCAUAUAAGUCUCAAAGACUUCUCUCUUCAAG